AGCCAGCAGUGGAGUAAGAAGGAGAGGAAGAUAUAUAGAACAAUGAAAGGAAGAUCAACACAUUUGGAGAGCGAAAUUUAUUAAGGAAAUGAAAAGAAAUUAGCUGGGCUCACACCAGCCCCACCAGUCUUUGUUGGAAGUGAGCUGAAUGUCUUUCUCCAGUCCUCUAGACUGUUUUUGCAAAACCUCCAUAUUCCACACUUAUUUCCACAGUGGCUGCACGGGUUUGUGUCCUGCUUCCUCUGCUCUAUCCUAGAGGCUUCCAUUGACUACAACACCUCAUAGCUCACCUUGGAUUUUUAGACAGAAUGCUGGAGAAUAUUCACUCACGAGUGUCAAUGCCAAGAAUUCCAUGCAGGAACACUGAAACCCUCUUUAGA